rnacentral:rRNA from 1 species
UACGUAGGUGGCAAGCGUUGUCCGGAUUUACUGGGCGUAAAGGAUGCGUAGGCGGACAUUUAAGUCAGAUGUGAAAUACCCGAGCUUAACUUGGGUGCUGCAUUUGAAACUGGGUGUCUAGAGUGCAGGAGAGGUAAGUGGAAUUCCUAGUGUAGCGGUGAAAUGCGUAGAGAUUAGGAAGAACACCAGUGGCGAAGGCGGUUAGCUGGGCAGUUGCUGACACUGAGGCGCGACAGCGUGGGGGAGCAAACAGG